rnacentral:antisense_RNA from 1 species
CUUUAUGGCGGGCCGGGCGGGGCCAGCUUCGGCUGGGCCGGGUUCCGUGAUGUCCGGUUUCUCACCCCCGUCGUCAGGCCCGCCACCUCA